UUUCCUUUAGCUCUGUAGGUACCUUUUCCAUCACGGCGUUGUUUUGUGUAAGCAGUAGCUUUUUUCCUCUAGUAAAAGAUCUCAAAUUGAGACAUGCACAUUCUAGGGGAGAAAAGUCAGGCACAACCUAGUGUAUUUCAAGUCCUCAGAGCUAUCAUAACAGCAUUGAUCUCAAUAGAAAUCCUGAUAUUUUAAUGAAAUUGUGUCCCUAAGCUAUGCUGACAAUUUGCAACAAGCCAUUCAUCAGCCUGUGUUAAGUAGUAAGGCUUUGUUAGGCCAAGCAAAAAGUCGACAUCGUUACUCUGACAUCCUAACACUAACUAUACAUUUAAAGUGAUCCUUUUCAUUUCCUUAUUUAAAUAUCAUUGUCCAAGGUAUAUUGCUUUUUCCCUGGGAGGAAUUAUUUUUAAAACCCUAAAUCUCAUAGUUGAUACAUCCUCAUGGAAGGCCAGGGUGCUCCAGUGGCAAAUGGCCACCAGCCUGGUCCUUCCUAGGGCUGCCAUCAAGCCAAAGCCAUUCCAUGUGCUAACUGUCCUGUGGAGUUCUCUAGAAUUGCUAGCGAAGUCUGCCCUAACACAAAUGACCUUCCUUUUUGUUUUUUUAAUUUUACUUUAAGUUCUGGGAUCCAUGUGCAGAACAUGCAGGUUUGUUACAUAGGUAUACAUGUGCCAUAGUAGUUUGCUGCACCUAUCAGCCCAUCAUCCAGGUUUUAAGUCCCGCAUGCAUUAGGUAUUUGUCCUAAUGCUCUCCCUCCCCUUCCCCCCCAACCCCCUGACAGGCCCUGGUGUGUGAUGUCCCCGUCCCUGUGUCCAUGUGUUCUCAUUGUUCAACUCCCACUUAUGAAUGAGAACAUGCAGUGUUUGGUUUUCUGUUCCUCUGUUAGUUUGCUGAGAAUGAUGGCUUCCAGCUUCAUCCAUGUCCCUGCAAAGGACAUGAGCUCAUUCUUUUUUACGGCUGCAUAGUAUUCUGUGGUGUAUAUGUGCCAUAUUUUCUUUAUCCAGUCUAUCAUUGACGGGCACACAAAUGAGCUUCCUUAGCACAGCUCUUUAACUGGGUGCAGUUCUGAUUUUACCACUAGGUUUUGAAUUAGGAUGAAGGAGGGGAAUGUAGUGGGUGGAUAUGCAUGUGGUGCAGUCGGCAAAAACAAGCCCUCAGCACAGGGUGGCGAUCACUUAGCCUUUGUCAGGAGUGCUGUGAGUAUCUUUCCCCAGUUCAUAGCUUUUAAUGAAAAUAAGCUUAGUUUUAUGUCAUUGAAUGUAUUGUUUCCUCUGUAGUUGUGCUUUUUGUGUAUCACCAAAGUCUUCUCUGACCUGUGGGCUUGGAGACAGUCCUCCUGGAUUUUAUCUGAAGGUGUUGCUUUCACACUUAGGUCUAUAGUCCACUAAGAAUGGAUUUAUUUAGGUAGAAUGAAGUAGGGGUGCAAUUUAGUUUUUUUUUCCUAUAUGGAUAUUCAUUUGUCCCCACACCACGUGCUAAAAAGACUGCCCUGGCUGGGCGCAGUGGCUCACGCCUGUAAUCCCAGCACUUUGGGAGGCCAAGGCAGGUGGAUCACAAGGUCAGGAGAUGGAGACCAUCCUGGCUAACACGGUGAAACCCCGUCUCUACUAAAAAUACAAAAAGUUAGCCGGGUGUGGUUGCGGGCGCCUGUAGUCCCAGCUACUCGGGAGGCUGAGGCAGGAGAAUGGCGUGAACCCGGGAGGCAGAGCUUGCAGUGAGCUGAGAUUGCGCCACUGCACUCCAGCCUUGGUGACGAGUGAGUCUCCAUCUCAAAAAAAAAAAAAAAAAAACACCAAAAAAAAAACACUGCCCUGUCCUUGCUGCUCCAAGAUGCCAUUGUGGUCAUAGAGCAAGUAUCUGUGAAUGUGUGGUUCUGUGUUGGGGCUUUCUGUUUUGUUCCACUGGCAAAGGCCUGGACGAAUUGGCCAAGGCCAUAGUGUCCCAGCUCCCACAGCUGCAGAAGCUCCUCACCUUCCCAGCAUCGGAAGUGCUAGGCCUGGCUUUCUGCUUGUUUUCGUAGCUUCUAGACUCAAAUUUCAUCAAAACACCCAAGAUUCUGUUAUGAGUUUGAUUGAAAUUGCAGCGAAUCUGUAGAGCAAUUUAGGAAGAAUUAAUAUCUUAAAAUUAUAUUAGAUCUUCCAAUUCAAGAGUCUAGUCUGUUCUUCAUUUGUUUAGGUCUUUCCUAAUAUAUUUCAGUAAAGUUUUAUAAUUUUAGCUGUAAAGGUCUGGCACAUCUUCUGUUAGAUUUAUUUCUAGACAUUUUAUAUUUUAAAAUUUGAUUUAAAAUACCAUUUACACAAUUACCUUUUCUGUUUGUUUCUGAUGCAGGAAAAUGAUGCGAUUAAUUUUUGUACUUUUUUUUGGUACAUUGACUUGUUAACCUUAUUAGAGUCUUUUUAAUUCUGGUAAUUCAUGUGUAGGUUCAUCUUUUUAAUGUGCAUAUUUGUUUUUUGUGAUGACAAUUUUUUCCCCUAAUUCUUUCUAAUAUGUAUAACUUUUAUUUAUUUUUCUUACGUUAUUGCAUUUGAUAGGACAGGCAGUACAGCAGUGAAUUGCCAUGAUGAUACAGACCACCCUUAUUUCACUGUUAAUAAGAUGUUCACUGUAGGUUUUUUUAGUAUUCCCUUCUAUUCCUGGUUGGAGUUCUCAUCUGGAUUAGAUGUUAAAUUGUAUCAAAUCCUCUUUUUAAAUUUAAAUAUUUUUAAAAAUGAAUUUUAAGUUGGGAGGUAACUGGUAUCAAAUACCCUUUUUGUAUCUAUUGAGAUGAUCAUGUUUUUCUCUUUUAACCUGAUAAUGUGUUAUAUUAUAUUGAUUUUAAAUAUUAAAUUGCUAUUUCAUUCCUGGAAUAAACCCAGCUUUUAUACAUUGCUACAAUUUGCAUACACACACACACAUACACACACGUAUAUAUAUAUUUUAGAAUUUUUGCACUUACAUUCACAAAUUAGAUUGGUUCACACUUUGCCCAUACUUUUCUUCGUUAGGUUUUGUUUUUAAGGUUAUGCUAGCCUCAUUGAAUUAAUUUGGAGAUGUUCCUUUUUGUUUUUAUGCUCUGUCAUUCUUUGUUCCCUGGAUGACCAGGAUAACUCUUGGUGAAAUGGCUCAUCCUUGGUGUUUUCUUUGUAGAAAGACUUGAAAUUACGGGUUUACUUUCCAUCUCCUGCUUUUCUGGGAUGUCUCAGCUGCCUGACACACACUAAACUUUUGAAGAUUUGAGUUUUCUUAGUGUUGUGGCAGCUUUGUCAGCUAAAAACAGUUUGAUGCUAAAGGAAGCUUAGCCUCUCAUGUUAAUCUGUUAUUUAUUUGUUUAACAGAGAAGUGAUUGAAAAGAAGCCAGAAAAGUUUAAAGUCCAGUGUUUGACAGACAUCAAAAACCUGUUUUUCCCCAACACAGAACCCUUUUAUGCUGCUUUUGGAAACCGACCGGCUGAUGUGUAUUCAUACAAGCAAGUAGGAGUGUCUUUGAAUAGAAUAUUUACCGUCAACCCUAAAGGAGAGCUGGUACAGGAACAUGCAAAGACCAACAUCUCUUCGUAUGUGAGACUCUGUGAAGUAGUCGACCACGUUUUCCCGUUGCUGAAAAGAAGCCAUUCUUCAGACUUUCCCUGUUCGGAUACCUUCAGUAACUUCACCUUUUGGAGAGAGCCACUGCCACCUUUUGAAAACCAGGACAUUCAUUCUGCCUCAGCGUAAAAUGUCCCAAGCAGUCUCUUGCCAGCAGUGCAGAGCCUGGUUGUCACCCAUUAAAGGAUAGGUCUCCCUGGAGUGCACAGCUCCACCUGGGAGCCUGGCGCGUCAUCAUUGGCCUGACAGCAGAGAGAAUUGAGAAGCAUUUCUCCCCUGCCCCACCCCGGGGCUGACAUUUCUAAGCAAGAUAGGAAGGGAGCACUUUCUAGGUGAGGAGUUGGUCGCAUUUGUACCGUGAAAAGCAUUCCUCAGUUGUGGCUUAAUGCCAGUUACGACGCUGCCUUUCCGGCCUGCUCCAGCAAGUAGCUGUUGGUUCAUGUGCAGUCUGGGGCUGUGAAACCUAGGCAGAAGGUGGCUGUCUGAGGGCUGUCCCCUCCUAGGACAGGGUCAAUCAAGGAAUGCCAGAUGUGCACGGUUUUUGGCAAAGUAGGGGGCACAUUUCCAUUAUAGCAAUGUUAGUGCCACCACCUUCUGAACACAGUGGGGAGGGCUGUGAAGGCUCAUGUGACCUGGAUCUGAGGUCUCUGCUAGAAAUCCAGACGUCACCGGGUCCAGGCUUGGCCUCAGACUUGGCCUUUUGGAUGGGCCCCUUACAGUAUUUGCUGACUAGUCUCAUUUUUAGGUGAUAAGUUUUUCUUUAAUUCCUUUGGUUAAAGAUAGUCUAUUUAAUUGGCAUAUCUCCCCCCAGUUUUUGUGGCUCAAGGCUGGAAUAUUUAUGCCUUAGUGUAUCUAUGGCAGACAUUUUAUUGAGAAUGCGCUUUAUCUAGCUCAUGGUAACUUUGCAACGCCUUAGAUUAAAAUGAUAGUAAAUAUUACUAAGGCAGUAUUUUGAGUGAGUUUGACACUGCCCGCUUCCUUCCAUCCAGCAAGGUGGUGCUGACCAUGUGGUCUUGGGCGCACUUAUGCCAAAUGAUAAUGAUAUUGACUUCUACUGGGAGCUCUCCGAAGAAACUGGUUGGUUUUAAGAAAAUAGUUUCAAGAAGUUAAACUAUAUUCUUUUAGAUAUUAUUUAUUGUUUUACUCUGAUUAGGUUACUGUGCUAGGCAUUUUAGUCAUAUUCUUUCUAUACCACUGUCAUUAAUAUAUUAAAAAGAUAUAUGUGUUAGACUAUCCAAAGGGCCUUACUCUCUCAUUCUCAUAGACUGACCUUCUUUUGGAAUUUAUGAGUCAUUUAUUUUCCUUAGUUUUUUCCACUCAAAUUAAGGGCAAGUGAAAAAGUAAUAAUUUGAGUGGCAUUCUUUAAGCUGACAGAAUGUGAUUCUUUCACUUAUUACACUGGCUUGUGGACAGAACAAUUUGAAAAGUGAAAGAAUUAUUUUGGUAAAAGAUUUUGCUUUAUUUUUUGAAGCAUUAUUUUUUUAAAGAGUGUUUUACUCCAACGAUUGAAACAUUUUCCUAUUUAAAUUUCAUUGUUAGAAUCACAGGAGGCAAAAAAUGGAACAGUUGAAUGAAAUUUUACUCUUUCUGUGAAAGAAAAUCCACAGAGUUGUUGCCUCCGUUGUAGUUGGUGGGCCCUGUUAGCAUCGGAUGCCUUUGCCAGAUGGUUUAUGUGGACACACAAAGGCAAACAUAGAUCUGCCAUCGAUUGCAGAUUUCUCUAGAAACACGGAUGUGCAUGUGCAGAUUCCCUUUUGGAGGUAUUAAAAAUAAUUAAAAAUAGUCCUGCCUGAGGUUGCAGUGAGCCGAGCUUGCACUACUGCACUCCAGCCUGGGUGACAGAGUGAGGCUCUAUGUC
rnacentral:sRNA from 1 species